CUUAAUAUAUGAUUUAUAAAUACAUUCAGGAAGUUUAGAAUUGAGGUCACUAGGAUGUAUCGUGGAAAAAGAAACUCCUCAAAACUUGUGGAAGAAUAUGUACACAAACAUUUUCACGAGUGGUUUAAGGAAUAUGUAAGAUUCCAAACAUUUCACUCCCAUUAAAACUCAAAAUCUUACAAUUUUAUAUUGCUGUCCUAACAUAUUUUAUAACAAAGGUUGCAAGUCAGAAUGAUGUGGAGAUUACAUCAGAAAUCGAAGUGCUUGCAAAUGGGCCAAAUAAUGUUGUGAGGAGAUUCAAAG
rnacentral:lncRNA from 1 species